rnacentral:rRNA from 1 species
UGUAACAAGGUCUCCGUUGGUGAACCAGCGGAGGGAUCAUUGCUGGAACGCGCCCCAGGCGCACCCAGAAACCCUUUGUGAACUUAUACCUUACUGUUGCCUCGGCGCAUGCUGGCCUCUAGUAGGCCCCUCACCCCGGUGAGGAGACGGCACGCCGGCGGCCAAGUUAACUCUUGUUUUUACACUGAAACUCUGAGAAAAAACACAAAUGAAUCAAAACUUUCAACAACGGAUCUCUUGGUUCUGGCAUCGAUGAAGAACGCAGCGAAAUGCGAUAAGUAAUGUGAAUUGCAGAAUUCAGUGAAUCAUCGAAUCUUUGAACGCACAUUGCGCCCUCUGGUAUUCCGGAGGGCAUGCCUGUUCGAGCGUCAUUUCAACCCUCAAGCAUUGCUUGGUGUUGGGGCACUGCUUCUAACGGAGCAGGCCCUGAAAUCUAGUGGCGAGCUCGCCAGGACCCCGAGCGCAGUAGUUAAACCCUCGCUUUGGAAGGCCCUGGCGGUGCCCUGCCGUUAAACCCCCAACUUCUGAAAAUUUGACCUCGGAUCA